rnacentral:lncRNA from 1 species
GUUACCUGUAGUAUCCAUAGCGUCUCUCUCUCACUCCGCAUAGGAAGCAGCGCGCAGAGUGAACUGAGCAGUGAGCUCGCCUUCUGUGCUGAAAAUGGAUCCCCCCUCGCUUCCCUUUCGAGGGCGACUCACGCCCAUCCUUUAUAUUCAAGUACAGUAGAAUGUCGACAGCACCGCGUACAAUGACUCUCCACUCACUAGUAGACUAGUAGAAUAAGCACACGUCUCGAUUAAUGAGUUUGUUUACAUAACCAGUUGAAUGUUGUGAGAUCAUACAUCACCGGACCUCACGGGACAGCAGAGUUCACGGCUGACUCCCAGUGUGCAGCCGCAAUUUAUUUCCCCCUGUCUUAUCGCGCGCUGAUUAAUCAGAGAUGAAAGGGGAAGGAUCGGAGGCAGGAAGGAUCGGAGGCAGGAAGGAUCGGAGGCAGGAAGGAUCGGAGAGGAGAGGAGAGGAGGGGGAAGGUGUAUCGUUAAGGAUCUUUUAGGAAUGACGAUACUGCAUCUCCACCUGUUCUCUACAAAAAGGGUGGUCCAUUUCUUGUUCUGUUCUCUACAAAUAGGGUGUUCAAUUUCCUGUUCUGUUCUCUACAAAAAGGGUGGUCCAUUUCCUGUUCUGUUCUCUACAAAUAGGGUGUUCAAUUUCCUGUUCUGUUCUCUACUAAAAGGGUGGUCCAUUUCCUGUUCUGUUCUCUACAAAUAGGGGUGGUCCAUUUCCUGUUCUGUUCUCUACAAAUAGGGUGGUCCAUUUCCUGUUCUGUUCUCUACUAAAAGGGUGGUCCAUUUUCUGUUCUGUUCUCUGCAGAGAGAAGGGACAGAGUUGCUACUGUUUCAAAGUCAUACUGUUAGAAUUAGAUUGAGAUUAACUUUAUCAGAUUCUUUACUGGAGGCCUAUUUAUUUGAUUAUGUAGCCUGGAAACUGAAAUUCAUGAACAAUUGACAGAUAAUCUAUACAUGCUCUG